rnacentral:rRNA from 1 species
UCGGGAAUAUUGGGCAAUGGAGGAAACUCUGACCCAGCAAUACCGCGUGAAGGAUGAAGGUCUUCGGAUUGUAAACUUCUGUUAUAAAGGAAGAAUAAAAUGACGGUACUUUAUAAGUAAGCCCCGGCAAACUAUGUGCCAGCAGCCGCGGUGAUACAUAGGGGGCAAGCGUUGUCCGGAAUGACUGGGUGUAAAGGGUGUGUAGGUGGCUUAUUAAGUUGGAAGUGAAAGCCCGGGGCUUAACUCCGGAACUGCUUUCAAAACUGGUUGGCUUGAGUGUGGGAGAGGUUAGUGGAACUCCUAGUGUAGCGGUGGAAUGCGUAGAUAUUAGGAAGAACAUCAGAGGCGAAGGCGACUAACUGGAACAUUACUGACACUGAAACACGAAAGGGUGGGUAGCAAACAGG